UACAGAGGUCUCAAGCGUUGUUCGGAUUCAUUGGGCGUAAAGGGUGCGUAGGCGGCGCGGUAAGUCGGGUGUGAAAUCUCGGAGCUUAACUCCGAAACUGCAUUCGAUACUGCCGUGCUUGAGGACUGGAGAGGAGACUGGAAUUUACGGUGUAGCGGUGAAAUGCGUAGAUAAUCGUAAGGAAGACCAGUGGCGAAGGCGAAUCUCUGGACAGUUACUGACACUGAGGCACGAAGGCCAGGGGAGCAAACCGGGGAUUAAAA
rnacentral:rRNA from 1 species